AUUGAACGCUGGCGGCAUGCCUUACACAUGCAAGUCGAACGGCAGCACGGGAGCAAUCCUGGUGGCGAGUGGCGAACGGGUGAGUAAAGUAUCGGAACGUGCCCAGUCGUGGGGGAUAACGUAGCGAAAGUUACGCUAAUACCGCAUACGAUCUAUGGAUGAAAGCGGGGGAUCGCAAGACCUCGCGCGAUUGGAGCGGCCGAUAUCAGAUUAGGGAGUUGGUGGGGUAAAGGCUCACCAAGCCGACGAUCUGUGGCUGGUCUGAGAGGACGACCAGCCACACUGGGACUGAGACACGGCCCAGACUCCUACGGGAGGCAGCAGUGGGGAAUUUUGGACAAUGGGCGAAAGCCUGAUCCAGCCAUGCCGCGUGCAGGAUGAAGGCCUUCGGGUUGUAAACUGCUUUUGUACGGAACGAAAAGGUUUGGCCUAAUAAGCUGAGCUCAUGACGGUACCGUAAGAAUAAGCACCGGCUAACUACGUGCCAGCAGCCGCCGUAA
rnacentral:rRNA from 1 species